AGAGUUUGAUCCUGGCUCAGAUUGAACGCUGGCGGCAUGCCUAACACAUGCAAGUCGCACGCGAAAGGGGGCAACCCCGAGUAGAGUGGCGGACGGGUGCGUAAUACGCAGGAAUCUACCCACGAGUGGGGGACAACCCGGGGAAACCCGGGCUAAUACCGCAUGAGACCUACGGGUGAAAGCGGGGGAUCGCAAGACCUCGCGCUGGUGGAUGAGCCUGCGUCCGAUUAGCUAGUUGGUAGGGUAAAAGCCUACCAAGGCAACGAUCGGUAGCUGGUCUGAGAGGACGACCAGCCACACUGGGACUGAGACACGGCCCAGACUCCUACGGGAGGCAGCAGUGGGGAAUAUUGGACAAUGGGGGCAACCCUGAUCCAGCAAUGCCGCGUGUGUGAAGAAGGCCUUCGGGUUGUAAAGCACUUUCGAUGGGGACAAACGUGUCGGGCUUAAUACGUCCGGCCUUGAUGGUACCCAGAGAAGAAGCACCGGCUAACUCUGUGCCAGCAGCCGCGGUAAUACAGAGGGUGCAAGCGUUAAUCGGAAUUACUGGGCGUAAAGCGUGCGUAGGUGGUUGGAUAAGUCAGGUGUGAAAUCCCCGAGCUUAACUUGGGAAUUGCGCUUGAUACUGUCCGGCUAGAGUGUGGUAGAGGGUAGUGGAAUUCCGCAUGUAGCGGUGAAAUGCGUAGAUAUGCGGAGGAACAUCAGUGGCGAAGGCGGCUACCUGGACCAACACUGACACUGAGGCACGAAGGCGUGGGUAGCAAACAGGAUUAGAUACCCUGGUAGUCG
rnacentral:rRNA from 1 species